AAAGAGCGGAGGGGAAACACCCGUUCCCAUCCCGAACACGGUCCCGAAAGGGAAGUAAUAGUUAAGCCCUCCAGCGCCGAUGGUACUAUAGGGGGGACCCUAUGGGAGAGUAGGCCACUGCCGAGC
rnacentral:rRNA from 1 species